AGUGAACGCUGGCGGUAGGCCUAACACAUGCAAGUCGAACGGCAGCACAGUAAGAGCUUGCUCUUACGGGUGGCGAGUGGCGGACGGGUGAGGAAUACAUCGGAAUCUACUUUUUCGUGGGGGAUAACGUAGGGAAACUUACGCUAAUACCGCAUACGACCUACGGGUGAAAGCAGGGGAUCUUCGGACCUUGCGCGAUUGAAUGAGCCGAUGUCGGAUUAGCUAGUUGGCGGGGUAAAGGCCCACCAAGGCGACGAUCCGUAGCUGGUCUGAGAGGAUGAUCAGCCACACUAGAACUGCGACACGGUCCAGGCUCCUACUGGAGGCAGCAGUGGGGAAUAUUGGACAAUGGGCGCAAGCCUGAUCCAGCCAUACCGCGUGGGUGAAGAAGGCCUUCGGGUUGUAAAGCCCUUUUGUUGGGAAAGAAAAGCAGCAGGUUAAUACCCCGCUGUUCUGACGGUACCCAAAGAAUAAGCACCGGCUAACUUCGUG
rnacentral:rRNA from 1 species